rnacentral:lncRNA from 1 species
GUGAUUCCCUUUCAGAGCUUUCUCGGGUCCAUAACAAGCGCAGGCAGCUAUUCAAAUGCAAGUUGCGUCCCCAAUUGCGCGGCUGGCCUGAGCAAAAGAAGCCGCUCAACGCGGGGCGAGCCAAGACCAGCGAGCGCUAGGGUUUUGGGUCACCUCUUUUCUCCGGGUUUCCCCCUCGCUCUUCUGUUCCUGAAUUAGCUGUUUAUUUACAGCUACAAACGUGUGUGAGCCAGCAAGCCAGCUCGUGAGGCCGGGCAUUGAUCUUUACCGAGACUCAAAGCUGAAACCGAAGGAGUGCAGGGGAUUUGGGGUUCUGAGUGGGACUCAGACCCUGGGUACCGAUGGGGCUUUCUUGCCCGCUUCCCUUAUCCUCGCGACCUUGCAGGAAUCCUCAAGCUUGAGAGCCGCCGGGCCUCGGGCUUUGGAGAAAGUGGCGACCGCUGCAUCCCAGUCUUUAAAAUGAACGCAAAGAAAGGAGGCAUAUCUGAAACCUGGUCGCGUGUCAGAAGCAACCUGCCGUGAAAUCCGCUAAUGCGCCGGGACUCGCCCUCCGCGGAAAAUGCCGGCAUUAGUCAAGCACACUGUAAUCAUCUAUUGUUGAGAGGAAGGUUUCUUGGUGAUGUUGGAAACUGGGGCACCAGGAAGUUCCAUCGAGUUGCUUAGAACUGAAGCCGUUAAGUAUAACCCUUCCCUGCACCUCACACACCUCUCCAGUUUCAAGAAAUUGGUCCACAGAAGCUAAUCCUCUCACCCCUCAGAGUCUACCUAUGUGCCAAGCUUUAUUCUGGGUACUCAAAGAAGAAAAGAAGACAAAAAUAACAAAAGGUAACCACAGUCCCCCAGCAUUUGACAAUCCCUCAGAGGCCAGAGAAAAACAUCCUUUCUACACACCAGGAAAUGCUUCUGAGAGGUCAAAAACACCUUUCUUCUGACUCACCGACUACAGGAAAAGUGUUUCAGUAAAAGGUGUGAAGUAGAGGAACAGGAACAGGAGGAGGAGGAAGAAAGCGAGAUUUGGGAACCAAAGCCUAAACAAGCCACCUUUUGACAAAGCCCCUUGCUGUAUGGGCAGAGUUGAACUCCGUGUAUCCUACCCUAAUUCAGGUGGGCUCCAGGGCCUCGGCCAGGACUCUCCAUGGAGGAGGACUUCCAAGAUCAAGUCUCCGUUGACUAGAGGAAGAACAGCAUGAACAAUUUGUUUACUAAUUUCUUUCAUUUUUUAAACAAACCGUCUUUCAAGAAGAGAUGAUCAUAAGGGCAGAUCAAUCAUUUCAAUGGGAUUAAAAUAUGGUGGCAGAAACAGUUGAUCUUAGAUUAACUCAUUCUUUGGUCUAAAUGAGAGGCAAGUACUACAGGAAAGAGUUCAAAAAUAAUAAAGAAACAUGGAUUUGGCUUCUGAAGCUGGUUCACUAGAUAGAAAAUAUUUUAUGCUUGAAUGUGUCUGAAGAGAUGAUUAAAAAUAAGUUAAAUUAACGUAGUUUCGUUUUUGGCUAGUGUAUUCCCCUCCCCCGCAGAAAAGACUUUUUCCGGGCAGGGCAGGGUGCUCCAGAUUCCUAAAUGAUCAUGACCAAGUGGACAAGAAGCAGGAUCCAUAGGAGUUGUUUGGGUAGGAUGGGACCUUUUUGAUGAUGUGACCCAGCAGAUUUAGUCAGUCCCAGAACCCAGAGUUCUAGGAAGUUUCGGUGUACCCACUGACCUUGACUGACCUGGAGUGAUCUUGAGCCGUUGGUGGCUGGGACCUGGACUAAGGAGAUGAGCCCGUUUGUGCUUUAGCUGAUGGGAUUUCGG